AUUGAACGCUGGCGGCAGGCCUAACACAUGUAAGUCGAACGGUAACAGGAAGCAGCUUGCUGCUUUGCUGACGAGUGGCGGACGGGUGAGUAAUGUCUGGGAAACUGCCUGAUGGAGGGGGAUAACUACUGGAAACGGUAGCUAAUACCGCAUAACGUCGCAAGACCAAAGAGGGGGACCUUCGGGCCUCUUGCCAUCGGAUGUGCCCAGAUGGGAUUAGCUAGUAGGUGGGGUAACGGCUCACCUAGGCGACGAUCCCUAGCUGGUCUGAGAGGAUGACCAGCCACACUGGAACUGAGACACGGUCCAGACUCCUACGGGAGGCAGCAGUGGGGAAUAUUGCACAAUGGGCGCAAGCCUGAUGCAGCCAUGCCGCGUGUAUGAAGAAGGCCUUCGGGUUGUAAAGUACUUUCAGCGGGGAGGAAGGGAGUAAAGUUAAUACCUUUGCCCAUUGACGUUACCCGCAGAAGAAGCACCGGCUAACUCCGUG
rnacentral:rRNA from 1 species